rnacentral:misc_RNA from 1 species
UGCAUCUUGGCGCCGUCUAACGCCGAGAAGUGUGGGAACGCGAGCUCCCUCGUCUCCUCCCUCGCCGCCGCCGCCGCCGCCGGUGUCCAUCAUCUUAUCUCUCUGAAGAUGAGGGAGAAUCGACGGCUCUCAGCCGCUCUUAUCCUGGAGAGAGGGAAAGCGGGAGAAGAGAGAGGUAGAGCGGUGGAAGUCCGUGAAUGGGUG